UAGCAUGGUAGAAACUUAUGUCUACUCGUAUAUUUCUAGUAGCUAGUCCAAAUAGAUGUUGGUUUAUCAAGGUUCCAUGAAAACAUGAUGCAAACACUGCACUAGGAUCAAUUUAUUUCUUCCAUCAACAAUUAAUCAUUGGCUAGCACACCAUAAAGACUUGGUAAAAAAGUACAAAUACAGAGACACGCAUAUGCGUGAGAUCUAUUAAGCAGUGACAGCUAUCUUCAUGCCUUGCUGGCAGUGACCCGGAAGGCUGCAGAUGAAGAACGCUUUGCCUCUGCGGGCGAGCUGGAUGUGGUCAUUGCCGGAGGUGUAGGUCCUCGACGGGCCCGAGACCCUGCAUGAGUUGUAGUCGCUUUCUCCCACCUGCACCACGUUGUGCAUAGGGUUGUACUUGAACACUGCGUGCAUUAGUUAACACAAGAAUACAUAUCAGAACAUAAUAUAUACAUUAAGAACAACCAAUCACCUGAUCUUUAGAGUUCUCACCAAGCACGUCCCCGGACUGGAUGUGCUUGCCACCCUCCCAUCCGGAGACACCGAAGCUCCAUCCCUUGUUGUCACCAACGGUCCACUCCUUGCCAUGGACGACGGUGGUUGCGCAGCAAACGACCAGAAGCGGCACCAAAAGGGUGGGUAUGAUGGUUCCCCGUGCCAUCGUUGGUGCUGCUCUUGACUUCUUGUCGCUACCGAAGAUUACAAGAACAACAAAAUGAAACAAUGGUCGGUUCUUCAAGUGAUUGCUUGCGUUUGGUCUCCUUCUCGUAUCAUAUAUAUAGCCAGUCAGCUAAAAUCGUUGUUUUAAUGUGCUCAAAUAAUGAGAAUCUUGCUUUAAAUGAGACAAAUAAAUAAUCGUGAUAUGCAAUGUUACUUAGUAUAUGCUACCAAAUCCUCCAACUUAUAUAAUCCGAUCUAGUAUUAAUGGAAAUUAACGAGAUGUAUUUAUUUUCCUGCUCUUAAGAUUUAGAAAAUAUUUCUUUUUCGUGGAUUCAUUAGUGGUAUAUCAGAUAUUUAUAUAUACUAGUAUUAGAUGAUAUAUUUGUAAUAGGAAAAUUCUAAAAUAAAAAAUAUUUUAAAUAAGGAGAAGUCCCUAAUCUAGAGUUUUCGACCAUAGCUGCUAAAGCUGUUGGGGAACCUUGCAUGGAAAACAAAAAAAAUUUACGCAUACGCAAGAUCUAUCCAUGGAGAUGCGUAGCUACGAGAGGGGGAGAGUAUCUUCAUACCCAUGAAGAUCGCUAAGAGAAAGCGUUUUUCAACGCGGUUGAUGUAGUCGUACACAUUCACGACCCAUCCCGAUCUGGUACCGAACGUAUGACACCUCCGCAUUCAGCACAUGUUUAGCUCGAUGACGUCCUUGCCUUCUCGAUCUAGGGCGUGGUGACGGUUGGUGAUGAAGAACAAUCUCCGUAGGGCUUUGCCAAGCACUACAGAAACUAGAUGGAGGAUAAACUAGAGGGGACAGGGUUGCCGACACACGGCUUGGUGAAAUGACUGAUGAAAUACCAUGCAAUUGUUUGAAAUGAAUGUUAAAAAGGAUAGAAGAAUUUGUCAAAAAAAUUUAGGGAGUUAAAUAUAGGGUUUGGUUAGGUUUGGCCACAAUUGAACUCCUUAAAUAUGAAGGAGUUAAGUUUAGAAAGGCAUAUAAGGAGAUACUCCCUAUGUUACUUUUUAUAAGGUGUGUUUGUUUUUUGAUAAAAUUCCACAAUGUAAGAUGCAUUUCUUCUAAUUCAUCCGAAAUUCCGUCUUCAACCCUCUAGAAAAAGGAUAGUAUCUUUCCCCUGAUUGCAUGUGUCUCUCCAUGUAAAAAAGGAAAGUAUCUCUCUCUCGAUUGCUUGUAUCUCUUAUUUUUCUAGCCUAAAUGAUUUACUUACCACUAAUCAAUGAUUUAGCCAAGGUUAAUUUUUUUCUAACUUGUGUAUAAUUAUGUGCCUUGGUCACCGUGCCUAAAAUUAUACACCUUACAUAGAGGAAUGAAGGGAGUAAUUAUAAAUGGUUGACUAGAGAUGCUCUUGGUGUUUGUUAAUAAGAUGGCAUAUUGGGUAGUUUCAAAGGAACUCUGAGGGCAGGGGGUAUGGUUCGUGAAGUGGAGCAGGUGAAGGAACCAUUUCUCUGCUCCAGUAAAAUAAAAUAGAUGCUACUCCAGCUCCAAUCCACUAAGAAAUCAAUGUUGAGCUGUUUGAAACAACUCUACUGAAAUCAUGGAGUGGAGCUGUCCAAAACCUACCCUAAAUCCGACAAGAACCAACUAGAAGCAUAUCCUAUAUGUGAAGGUCGCCCGUGUUACUGGAUUGGUGGAUCUAGUUUGUUAAAUUGACUCAACGACUAGGGCUCCGUGGCACUAGUCCUUAAGGGUGCGUGCACGAAGACUUCUCGGUUGUACUCGAAAAGGUUAGGCCAGUCCGACAAGCGGCAGGUGAGCGGCAUGUUCUGGCGGUAGUGACCGUUUGAUGGUCCAAGAACCUCUAUGUGAUGUUUAUUAUGUUUGAGAUGCUUUGAAAUUUUGGUGAACUAUUUUAAAAAAAGACUCCGAAUUCAAUUGACUGUGAUAGACCUUCAUAAUCUAUUGCCCUUAAUGUUCAAAGUAUGGUUGGUAGAAUGGUAGAAACUUAUGUCUACUCGUAUAUUUCUAGUAGCUAGUCCAAAUAGAUGUUGAUUUAUCAAGGUUCCACGAAAACAUGAUGCAAACACUGCACUAGGAUCAAUUUAUUUCUUCUAUGAUCAAUUCAUCAUGGGCUAGCACACCAUAAAGACUUGGUAAAAAACUACAAAUACAGAGACACACAUAUGCGCGAGAUCUAUUAAGCAGCGACAGCGAUCUUCAUGCCUUGCUGGCAGUGACCCGGAAGGCUGCAGAUGAAGAACGCUUUGCCUCCGUGGGCGAGCUGGAUGUGGUCAUUGCCGGAGGUGUAGGUCCUCGACGGGCCCGAGACCCUGCAUGAGUUGUAGUCGCCUUCUCCCACCUGCACCACGUUGUGCAUACUAGGGUUGUACUUGAACACUGCAUGCAUUAGUUAACACAAGAAUACAUAUCAGAACAUAGUAUAUGCAUCAAGAACGACCAAUCACUUGAUCUUUAGAGUUUUCGCCAAGCACGUCGCCGGACUGGAUGUGCUUGCCACUCUCCCUUCCGGAGACGCCGAAGCUCCAUCCCUUGUUGUCACCAACGGUCCACUCCUUGCCAUGGACGACGGUGGUUGCGCAACAAACGGCCAGAAGCAACACCAAAAGGGUGGGUACGAUGGUUCCCCGUGCCAUCGUUAGUGUUGCUCUUGGCUUCUUGUCGCUACCGAAGAUCACAAGAACAACAAAAUGAAACAAUGGUCGGUUACUCAAGUGAUUGCUUGCAUUCGGUCUCCUCGUAUCACAUAUAUAGCCGGUCAGCAAAAAUCAUUGUUUUAAUGUGCUGAAAUAAUGAGAAUCUUGCUUUAAAUGAGACAAAUCAACAAUUGUGAUAUGCAACGUUACUUACUAUAUGCUACCAAAUCCUCCAACUUAUAUAAUCCGAUCUAGUAUUAAUGGAAAUUAACAAGCAUGCAUUAAUUUUCCUACUCUGAAGAUUUAGAAAAUAUUUCUUUUUCAUGGAUGCAUUAGUUGUAUAUCAUGUAUUUACAUAUACUAGUAUUAGAUGAUAUAUUUGUAAGAGGAAAAUUCUGAAAUAAAAACUUUUUUAAUUAGGACAAUUCCCUAAUCUUGACUUUUCGACCAUAGCUGCUAAAGCAUGAUCAGAGACCUUGAUUUGGGAUUGUCUAGUCACAAAUCAUCUGAAAUUGAUAGGAAUAUUUUCAAUAAUUGUAGUUCAAAUGAAUUUCACAAGUCAGAAAAUUUAAUGCAUUGGGUCAAUAUAAGAAUUUUAGACUAGGUUAAUUUGGAAUUAUUCAAAAAGAAAAGUGGCCAUGAUUGGUCAACGAUGUAGUAAACUCGACGAGAUUCGGAAGGAACUAAUUGAGAGGAACAUUUGUGAGACUUACCAAGGACUUGUCGCCACUUGAGUCGACGAAGAUUAUGACCUCAAGGACGCCCCCCCGGAAAACUCCGCGACAACUCCAGACCAACAAAAUUUGCUCUAAACUAGCCAUCCUGGCACAAACAGGAAUGACAUGCACGAGAGGGGGUGGAGUUGUGCCCUGUGUACUUCGCUCACUAGACGAUCUAGUGGAGAAUAAGAGGAGGGCAUAACGGGGAGGCGAAGAGGGGAGGCAGGAGAGACAGAAGAUAGUCGAAGAAUGAGAGGAUUGUGAAUUUUCUUUUUCCUAUUUAGAAAGUAGCACUAGUCGUUAUGGUGUGUCACAUGGCCAUGUAUGUGCUUUUUGCAGUUCACCUUACUAUUACCAUUUUUUAUAAAACAUAAUGUACACAAUUCCGUAAAAAUGUUUGUAUUUGGAUACUUUUUCUAUAUAAAAACCAUUGAUGGUGUCGUAUAAGCUAAUUUUCAUUUUUGAAAUGUAUGUGUGUGCACACACGUUUGUUCUGGUAAAAUUUACAAGUCUGAUAUACAAAUGUAGUAAGCAAAUAAAAAAAAGAAUUGUUUGUACACACACAAGGUCCUUGUUGUGGAGAUUGCUUUGGAGACCUCUUGAACAUCACUAGUGUCCCGUUGAGAUGAAUAGUAGAGUUCAACAUAAAAGGAAACAAUUGUGUUUAAGGGAUCAUUGGCCAUUGCAUGUUAUUACAUUUUAAAAUCAUGGUCACAUGUAAUUAGCUUAAACUGAAAUAGUGGCAACAAAGCACUAAACCAAAGUUUAAUGAAUGAAUAUCCAAGUGUGUAUCGUCUGUCCUUUGCUUUUGACGCUUUGUUUUGCCUCAAAGUGUAUUUGAAUUAGCAUGGGCAUUUUAUAAUAUAUACUGUCAGUAGAGUGCCUCUGCUGAAGAACUGAACUUAACAAUCGAGACUAUAUAGAAGAUAGAAUAUCUCCCGUCGGGCGCGCCUAUAUCUCGCCUUCAGUGAGUCUCGCUGCGGACUCGCUGAAGGGCGAGCGAGCUGGGCCGGCCCACAAGCACCGGAGGCCAUUCUUUUUUUCCUUUUUUACAUUUUCUGUUUUCUUUUUUUUCUUUUGUACUUCUGUUUAUACUGUACAAUAUUAUAAAAAAUAUAUUACGAAAAACAAUCUUCAUUUUUUUUUGAAUAUAUUUAACAACUAUUUAAAAAUGUUGAACAAGUAUUAAAAACAUGUUGAAUAAGUAUUUGAAAAAAAUGUUGAUCAAGUAUUUGAAAACUGUUGAACAAGUAUUUGAAAAAUGUUGAGCAUGAAUGGAAAACAAGUUGAACAAACAUUUGAAAUAUAUAGAAUAAGUAUUUAAAAAAUGUUGAUCAAGUAUUUGAAAACAUAUUAAACAAAUAUUUGAAAAAAUGUUGAUAAUGUAUAUAAAAAAUGUUGAACAGCAAUUUGAGAAAAUGUUGAUCAUGUAUAUAAAAAUGUAGAAUGAAAAACACAAAGAAACAAAAGGAAAUCCGAAAAAAUGAAAACAGAAAAAUAAACAAAAUAAACCAAAGAAAAAGGAAAAUGAAAAGAAAACUAAAGAAACAAAUGAAAAAACCGGAGAAAAAAAUAGUUUUAUGUAAAAUAAUGAAGAAACAAAAGCAAAAUAAUGAAAAAAAUGGAGAAGAGAAAAGAAAAGAAAAGAAAAGAAAAGAAAGAAAACAAAAUGAAAAAAAGGAGAAAAUCGGCACGACUUGCUUCAUGUAGGCCAUGUCCUUUAUGUUAUUCCGAACUAUUGGGCAGGCACAUUGGAUAGUCGCGCUUCAUAUGUUCGCGGCGAUCCCUGGUGCUCCCCUUUUCCCUUCUAUUUUUCUUUAGACUCUGCGCGAAAAUGGACUACCCCAGUAAUGACCACAUCCAAGAAAACUUCGAUGCAAAACUUAGUCCGAGGACACGCUUAAUGCAAUAGAAUGUUGCAACCAAUUUCAAGAUGCAAAGAAAUUCAGAGGUCGACUGAUUUUGGGGAGACAACAAGACGGUCAGAAAUGGGCCUAAUGCAUUUCGGUUAGCGCAACAAAUCAUUACCUGGGCCAGGCCCAUCCUGCUAGUACUCUGUUGAAGGUACAAACUAUUCCAUUUCUGUGUCUAGAAAAACUAUUCCAUUUUCUACAGAGUUCCAUGUUUCCAAAUAAAAAUAAAUGACACUACAGUACUCUACUAAAGGGGUACCCUAUGCUAUGGCAUCAUGUAAUAUUUAUCCUGUUGUCGAUCCUGGCGGUACAGAAGUCAUGCAUGAUUCACUCAGAGUUCUAGCGCACCCGCAAGUUCCACCCGAAAAUUGAAAAACUACAUAGCACCCAAAAAUGAUUUCUUUGGUGGUGAUGAGCAUGCAAGUGCUUGAGUUCGUGUUUUUCUGGAUAGGGCUUGGUCCACGACAUAACGCAUGUUAUGUUGUAUUUUUUUGGAUCAAACUUAAUCGAUGUGGUAGUUUCUGGAUGAACUAUAUGCAUGUUUUAAUUUGAAUUAUUUGAUUGGAUGAACUAUAUGUAUGUUUAUGGUUGUUUUGUUGUGUACGUUGAAUUUAAAUCAUGCAAAUGAUUGAUGAAAUAUCAUGCAAUUGUUUGAAAUGAAUGUUAAAAAAGGUGGAAUAGUAAGUCAAAAAGAUUUUAGGGAGUUAAAUAUAGGGUUUGGUUGCACAACUUAACUCCUUAAAUAUGAAGGAGUUAAGUUUAGAAAGGCAUAUAUGGAGAUACUCCCUACGUUUAAUUUUUAUAAGGUGUAUUUGUUUUUUUAUAAAAUUCCACAAUGUAAGGUGCAUUUCUUUUAAUUCAUCAGAAAUUCUGUCUUCAGCCCUCUAGAAAAAAGGAUAGUAUCUCUCCCCUGAUUGCAUGUAUCUCUCUUUGUAAAAAAAGGAAAGUAUCUCUCUCCCGAUUGCGUGUAUCUCUUAUUUUUGUAGCCUAAAUGAUUUACUUACCACUAAUCAAUGAUUUAGCCAAGGUUAUUUUUUUCUAACUUGUGUAUAAUUAUGUGCCUUGGUCACCGUGCCAAAAAUUAUACACCUUACGUAAAUGAUUGAAGGGAGUAAAUUAUAAGUGGUUGACUAGAGAUGCUCUUGGUGUUUGUUAAUAAUAUGGCAUAUUGGGUAGUUUCAAAGGAACUCCGAGGGUAGAGGGGUAUGGUGGAUGAAGUGGAGCAGGUGAAGCAACCAUUUCUCUGCUCCAGUAAAAUGAAAUAGAUGCUACUCCAGCUCUAAUCCACUAAGAAAAUGAAGUUGAGCUGUUUGAAACAACUCUACUGAAAUCAUGGAGUGGAGUUGUCCAAAACCUACACUCAAUCCGACAAGAACCAACUAGGAGCAUAUCCUAUAUGAAGAUCGCCCGUGUUACUAGAUUGGUGGAUCUAGUUUGUUAAAUUGACUCGACGACUAGGGCUUCGGGGCACUAGUCCUUAAGGGUGCGUGCAUGAAGACUUCUCGGGUGUAAUUGAAAAGGUUUGUCCGGCUCCGACAAGUGGCGCGUGAGCGGCUCAUUCUGGCGGUAGUGGUCGUUUCAUGGUCCAAGAACCCCUAUGUAAUGUUUAUUAUGUUUGAAAUGCUUUGUACUUUUGGUGAACUAUUUUUAAAGAAGACUCCGAAUUCAAUUGACUGUGAUAGACCUUCAUAAUCAUUCGCCCUUAAUGUUCAAAGUAUGGUUGGUAGAAUGGUAGAAACUUAUGUCUACUCGUAUAUUUAUAGUAGCUAGUCCAAAUAGAUGUUGGUUUAUCAAGGUUCCAUGAAAACAUGAUGCAAAUACUGCACUAGGAUCAAUUUAUUUCUUCCAUCAGCAAUUCAUCAUUGGCUAGCACACCAUAAAGACUUGGUAAAAAGUACAAAUACAGAGACAUGCAUAUGCGCGAGAUCUAUUAAGCAGUGACAACUAUCUUCAUGCCUUGCUGGCAGUGACCCGGAAGGCUGCAGAUGAAGAACGCUUUGCCUCCGUGGGCGAGCUGGAUGUGGUCAUUGCCGGAGGUGUAGGUCCUCGACGGGCCCGAGACCCUGCAUGAGUUGUAGUCGCCUUCUCCCACCUGCACCACGUUGUGCAUACUAGGGUUGUACUUGAACACUGCGUGCAUUAGUUAACACAAGAAUACAGAUCAGAACACAGUAUAUACAUUAAGAACAACCAAUCAC
rnacentral:lncRNA from 1 species